rnacentral:tRNA from 1 species
UAGGCCUAUGAAAAACAUUUCCUAGCCAAAUUUGCACUUUAGCCAAAUCUAGGCCU